UACGUAGGGUGCAAGCGUUAAUCGGAAUUACUGGGCGUAAAGCGUGCGCAGGCGGUUUUGUAAGUCUGUCGUGAAAUCCCCGGGCUCAACCUGGGAAUUGCGAUGGAGACUGCAAGGCUAGAAUCUGGCAGAGGGGGGUAGAAUUCCACGUGUAGCAGUGAAAUGCGUAGAGAUGUGGAGGAACACCGAUGGCGAAGGCAGCCCCCUGGGUCAAGAUUGACGCUCAUGCACGAAAGCGUGGGAGCAACAGG
rnacentral:rRNA from 1 species